GUGCCAGCAGCCGCGGUAAUACGGAGGGUGCAAGCGUUACUCGGAAUCACUGGGCGUAAAGCGCGCGCAGGCGGCUUAAUAAGUUGGAUGUGAAAUCCUAUGGCUCAACCAUAGAACUGCAUCCAAAGCUGUUAAGCUAGAGUCUGGGAGAGGAAGAUGGAAUUAGUUGUGUAGGGGUAAAAUCCGUAGAGAUAACUAGGAAUACCAAGAGCGAAGGCGAAUCUUACUGGAACAGUACUGACGCUGAGGCGCGAAAGCGUGGGGAAGCGAAACAGGAUUAGGAUACCCUGGUAGUCCACGCCCUAAACGAUGAAUGUUAGUCGUUGGAGCUCUAGUAGCUUCAGUGAUGCAGCUAACGCAUUAAACAUUCCGCCUGGGGAUACGGUCGCAAGNUUAAAACUCAAAGGAAUUGGCGG
rnacentral:rRNA from 1 species